ACAACAUUCAGACCGUCGGUCUACCCAGUAAUUUUACCGGCUCGGUGGAAGAUCUUCCCAUAGUCGA
rnacentral:pre_miRNA from 1 species